rnacentral:pre_miRNA from 1 species
AAAUAUCAGCAGGUAAUUCUGGGCAGUUAUUAUCCUUGGACUUGAUUAAAAUACAAGGAAGAACCCAGACUGCCGGCUGGUAUCAGG